AGAGAGGAAACUCCAGGAGAAGUGGAUAGACAGGUCAAAAUCUGUAGAGAGGUCAAAUAGAACUAAGAAAGGGCUAUGGGAUUUAGUAGUAAAGAGAUAAUUAGUAAUCCUGGAGUGAAAGUCUCAGUCAAAUGACAGAAUCACAAGUCAGCUUUUAUAGAACCUGAGAAAUAAGUGGGAGGUGGAGAGACUAGGAACAUACGUAUAGGUGGCAGAGAUGAAGACAGCUGAAAAGAAGAAUAAAGAUUACAGAGAGAAGAUGGAAAAGGAGGAUAUCAAGAGUACAAAUGUAAAGAUUAGCUUUGGCAAAGAAAAGACCUACUUCUUCCACAAAAGUUGGAGCAAAUAAGAAGAGAAUGGUUAAUGCUGAGGAGAUUUUUUAAAAGUGGGGAGUAGGGAAAAAGAGGGAGGCUACAAUGGCCUCUAUUUUCCAAUAAAAUAAAAGAUUUCUACCUGGAUAUUGGGCUUUCACUACUUUAGCCUUAAGUAAAGAGAUCAUUUAGGAACAGGAACUCUCUGCUCAACAGUUAACCACUUACAUGGAACUCAUUGCACAUAGGCCCUGAUUAUACAAACUUAAACAAAAAUGAAACGAUUCAAUAAAGGCCAAACUGUGAAGCCACAGAGAAAGAAGGCAGAAGGCUGACUUAACUCCUUGUUAACUGCCUCCCUUUCUAUCAGGCUAGAAGUCAAAGUGACAGAAAAAAUACACACAAUAAUAAACUGACCAAUAAUCAAUCAACAAGAAUCUAUUAACCGUCUGCUCUGUGCCAAGUUGAGUAUUAUUCUUUGGGGAUGCAAGUAUGAAGAAUGAAACAACUUAACCUGUAAGGCAUUUACAUUAUAACCAGGGAGAUAAGAAGUACAGUAGUCCCCUCUUAUUUGUAGUUUUGCUUUCUGCAGUUUCAGUUCCCUAGGGUCAUUCCAGGAAAA